rnacentral:rRNA from 1 species
UAUACGGUGAAACUGCGAAUGGCUCAUUAAAUCAGUUAUCGUUUAUUUGAUAGUACCUUACUACUUGGAUAACCGUGGUAAUUCUAGAGCUAAUACAUGCUAAAAACCCCGACUUCGGAAGGGGUGUAUUUAUUAGAUAAAAAACCAAUGCCCUUCGGGGCUCCCUGGUGAUUCAUAAUAACUUAACGAAUCGCAUGGCCUUGUGCCGGCGAUGGUUCAUUCAAAUUUCUGCCCUAUCAACUUUCGAUUGUAAGGUAUUGGCUUACAAUGGUUUCAACGGGUAACGGGGAAUUAGGGUUCUAUUCCGGAGAGGGAGCCUGAGAAACGGCUACCACAUCCAAGGAAGGCAGCAGGCGCGCAAAUUACCCAAUCCCGACACGGGGAGGUAGUGACAAUAAAUACUGAUACAGGGCUCUUUUGGGUCUUGUAAUUGGAAUGAGUACAAUUUAAAUCCCUUAACGAGGAACAAUUGGAGGGCAAGUCUGGUGCCAGCAGCCGCGGUAAUUCCAGCUCCAAUAGCGUAUAUUAAAGUUGUUGCAGUUAAAAAGCUCGUAGUUGAACCUUGGGCCUGGUUGGACGGUCCGCCUCACCGCGUGUACUGUCUCGGCCGGGCCUUUCCUUCUGGGGAACCACAUGCCCUUCACUGGGUGUGCCGGGGAUCCAGGACUUUUACUUUGAAAAAAUUAGAGUGUUCAAAGCAGGCCUAUGCUCCAAUACAUUAGCAUGGAAUAAUAGAAUAGGACGUGUGGUUCUAUUUUGUUGGUUUCUAGGACCGCCGUAAUGAUUAAUAGGGAUAGUCGGGGGCAUCAGUAUUCCGUUGUCAGAGGUGAAAUUCUUGGAUUUACGGAAGACUAACUACUGCGAAAGCAUUUGCCAAGGAUGUUUUCAUUAAUCAGUGAACGAAAGUUAGGGGAUCGAAGACGAUCAGAUACCGUCGUAGUCUUAACCAUAAACUAUGCCGACUAGGGAUCGGGCGAUGUUAUCUUUUUGACUCGCUCGGCACCUUACGAGAAAUCAAAGUCUUUGGGUUCU